rnacentral:tRNA from 1 species
GCUUUUGGUUCAGUGGUAGAAAUGCUCGCCUGCCACGCGGGGCGCCCCGGGUUCGAUUCCCGGCCGAUGCU